AGGUGCCAUAAAUGUAUAGAUCACAAUUCAGACUUUUCUUCUCAGAAUUAUGAGUUUAUAUCUUGCAAUUUGGAAAUUAUUUUUUUCUCAGAAUUACUAGAAAGAAAAUAGUUCAAAUUGUGAGAUAUAAAAUGUUUAUAACAUAAGAACUGUGAUAUAAAAAGUCGCAGUUACUUGAUUUUUUGUAAUCCUGUGACAGAAACAAACUUCCAUAUAGGCUUUGUGAUAUCAGCAGAAAAGUAACGUAAAGUUAGCAUUUUUUUUCUUUAGAAUAAAAUGCAUGAGGGAUGAUUUACAGUAAGACCUAAGUGAACCUAUGAAAGUAAAUAGAGUCAAAUUAAAUUUUAUGUUGACUUAUCUUCAUAACCCAGAGCGUAAUAGAUUCUGUGGCACGUGUGUUUUUAUAAAGAGCUGAUUUCUUAUGCUAAUCACAGCGCUGUCAUUGGUAAGGCAGUACAUUAGCUAAUGCUCUAGCAAAUAGAUAUUCUUUUCCCUCUUUUCCCAGUUCCCCGUAAGGUUGCAGUUCAGCAGCCUCUAUGACAUCAUCAGCGUCCCCAGUGUUUCGUGGAUCUACAGCUGGAUGCCGGCCUUUAUGGAGAUUGAAACAGGUGAAAGCAUGGGAGACUGCAAGUAAAUGUGAGCAUUUUUUCCCCAUCAUGGGUCUGUCUGGAGAACCGCCAAACCAACCGUCACAAACCUGGUGAGAUUCUCGUCUUUGCUGUAAUAACCUCUUUUUCUGUUUGCACUACAGCUGUUUGAAAUUUCAGCAGAAACAACUUCAGACUGAGACACGUACAGUAAACUCCACAAGCCAUCUGACAAGAAAAUCAUAUUUUUCUCUAUUAGGACGGCUGGAAACAUCUUGAGAAAGCUGUGAGAACAACUCGGAGACACAAAAUUGUAUGUGUUGCACCUGGUGAUUUAGAAAUUUGCACAAAUUGUCACAUUUUUAUGUAUUGGAUGACAGCUUAGAAUUAUAUUAUCCAUUCAUACUUUUUAUCUCGUCUCUUCUCAGAUCAAGCACAUUUUUCUCCUGGUGGAUGACAAAACAGGUGAAAAUCUUGGGUCAGUAAGGAACAACUGGGCAAAACCCUAGCAAACACAUAACAACCCUCUGGCAAUCACUCAGAUCAACCUAGCAACCACUUAGCAAAACCCUGGCAGCCACCCAGUAUACCACUUAGUCACCUAGAAAAUCCCAGCAUCUACUGAAGAGCCCCAUGGCAACCACCAGAACCAGUUAUGAGCAAUCUGGGAUCAACCUAGAACACCCUAGCAACCACACAGCAACACUCUGGCAAUCACCCAGAUCACCUUAGUGGCCACUUGCAGGCACCCAGAACACCCUAGAAAACACUUAGCAACACCCUGGCAGCUAUUCAGAACACCUUAGCAACACCCUGGUAACCACCCAAAACACCCAAGUGACCACCCAGAUCACCCUAGCAACAUCAUUGUAAGCACCCAGAACACUUUAGCACCACCAUGGCAACCACCCAGAACACCUUAGCAACACCCUUGCAACUACUGAACAGCACUCUGACAACACUUAGCAACACCCUGGCAGCUACCCAGAUCACCUUAGCAACACUCUGGCAACCACCUAGGAACACAUUAGCAACUACUGAACUUUGACAAGCACUUAGCAACACCUUUGCAGCCACACAGAACACUUUAGCACCACCAUUGCAACCACUCAGAACACCUUACAGCCACAUGGCAAUAACCUAACAACCACUGAGCAACAGUCAUUUUAAAGAUUUUUAAAUUAGCUAAAUAUAGACCUUAUGCAUCAGAGAAACAAGUGCGCAGCCAUCUUUAGAAUUUAGUCUUUGAACUUCUGUUUUUGCAGUAGCAUCACUGUUGAAGAGUAAUUAGCUGGUGAAGUGGAUUUAUUUAUUGUAGAGUUAACGAAAGUUAUCAUGUGCAUUGUAAUGUUUGAAGCGGAUGUCAUAGCAAAUGCCAGUAUACCGGGAAGAUUUUAAAAUGAGCGGUUCUUUCAAUCAAUUCAUAAAUGUGUUAUUGCUUUGCUAGCUCCUCACAGCCCAAAAAUAUCAUAAACCAGAUCAAAAAUGAAAAUGGGGACAGGAAGUGCACACAAAAGCAGAAUUGUUAGCUGCCGCCAUCUGAACACUUACAUCUGUGAGCGAGCGGAUCAGGACAGAUGGAUACAGCUGCCUUGAAGGCCUGGGGUUUCAGGUAGAUUGUUACAAUUC
ensembl:lncRNA